rfam:Echinostoma caproni strain Egypt genome assembly, scaffold: ECPE_scaffold0026527
GCAUUGCUGACGAGUCCAAAACAGGACGAAAUAGCUGUGCAGUGC